rnacentral:lncRNA from 13 species
GCUGAAGUUUGACCUCCCCACAGUAUAAUCCAAGAGUUGCCAAUGUAGAUGUUUAGAGAACAAUGCACUCUACUCUUUUAUGGCAAUUCGUAUCUUCGUACUAUCUAAAUAAAAGAAUGUUUGCAAUUGUAGGAGUUAAACUGAUGAUAGUAAGGAGUUAUUAUCUACUUGGGCAGCUAUAGCUAAAUACUAUAAAUUAGGUGACUGAUAAACAAUAAACAAAUAUAGCUCACAGUUCUGGAGGCUGGGAAGUUCAAGAGCAAGUCACUGGCUGCAUUGGUGUCUGACGAGAGCCUGUUUCCUGGCUCAUAGAUGGCACCUUCUCACUCUGUCCUUACACCAUUGAAGAGAUUAGGUAGCUCUCUAUAUGUCUUUUGUAUGGAAAUAAGCCCAACCAUGAGGGUUCCACCCUCAUGACCUCAUCCUAUCUAUGACCUCAUUCUAUCACUGUGGUGAUUAGAUUUCAAUAUAUAAAUUUUGGGGGGACAUAAACAGUCAGACCACAGUAAGAGGGCUGUUGUUUACUUAAUGUAGUGUGGACACAGAGCUUUUGCUUUCAGAAACACCCUUGAAGAGGAAAGAGUCAAGAAUUUAAGGGGUCUUUCAUCUCUUUUGAGUCAUGGACAUAAUUGAAAAUGUGCUGAAGACCAUGGGUUCCUUCCUAGAAACGUGCUCAGAAAUGUUCACAAAUGAGUUGAGAGCCUUUUCACAAUCCUUGAAGCUGGCUCGUGUUCCUGUGGACAUUGGGUUAGGAAGCCCUGAAUGUGAUUCCCAUACACUGCAGCCACUCAGGAUAAAUCCCUUCACAGCUGCUGGCACCUGUGAAUGGAUUGACAGACCUCCCAAGUCCAGCCUCCAGGCCAUACUUCAAGGCUGUCAAGUAAGGAGCAUGCCUUGCCUUUUUGAAAACCUCGUUUUGAACUCCUGA